rnacentral:lncRNA from 1 species
CUUUAUCUUGGUUUAUGGAAAAAUCGACAUUCCUGCAGCUUAUCAUCAUAUUUCUAGAAAACCAUACAAUUAUCAACAUAUACAUCUAUUAUCUCAGAACUUAGCAAAAUCUUGGUAUACCGUAUUGAAGUGUUUCCACACUUUUGCAUCUGAUGGAUGAGCAACUUCUCCAUCUACUUGUGUAUAUUCUGUAUGUCAUCUCAUCGAUGCAGCUGCCCUUUCAGAUUGAUAGAACCAUUUCAAGCUAUCAGUUAUAGGAAGAUACCACAUCCGUUGGUACGAUAUCCUUUUACGCCCAGAAGUUUGCCGCAUGUAUCUUGGUUUAUGGCAAUAUCGACAUUCUUGGAGCUUAUCAUCAUCUUUCCAGAAAAUCA